UACGGAGGGUGCAAGCGUUAUCCGGAUUCACUGGGUUUAAAGGGUGCGUAGGAGGGCAGGUAAGUCAGUGGUGAAAUCCCCGAGCUUAACUUGGGAACUGCCGUUGAUACUAUCUGUCUUGAAUGCUGUGGAGGUGAGCGGAAUAUGUCAUGUAGCGGUGAAAUGCUUAGAUAUGACAUAGAACACAAUUGCGAAGGCAGCUCGCUACACAGUUAUUGACUCUGAGGCACGAAAGCGUGGGGAUCAAACAGG
rnacentral:rRNA from 1 species